GCAUCGAUGAAGAACGCAGCAAACUGCGAUAAGUAAUGUGAAUUGCAGAAUUUAGUGAAUCAUCGAAUCUUUGAACGCAAAUGGCGUUCCUGGGCAUUCCCAGGAGCACGUCUGUCUGAGCGUCGUUUCUCACAUCCCCCUCCUGGAGGGGGGCUAUGGGACUUCCCUUUGCCUCUGUUGCGAACGGUGUCCUGAAGUGAAGCGAACCCGAGCGAGCGGCAGCCCCCCGUGGCCCGUUUUGUUCGGUGUGGUAGAUAAUAUCUCACCGGGCGGGCGUGUGCGACGGAGAGUGAAAGCGAGCAGAACGUGGUCGACUGGACAAGCGAGCUGACGAUUUAUCGACGGCUUGACUAUCAUAGACCUCAGAUCAGGCGAGACUACCCGCUGAACUUAAGCAUAUCAAUAAGCGGAGGA
rnacentral:rRNA from 1 species